ACUCAAAGGAAUUGACGGGGGCCCGCACAAGCGGUGGAGCAUGUGGUUUAAUUCGAUGCAACGCGAAGAACCUUACCUACUUUUGAAUCCACGGGAUCUCUCAGAAAUGAGAGAGUGCCUUCGGGAACCGUGAGACAGGUGCUGCAUGGCUGUCGUCAGCUCGUGUCGUGAGAUGUUGGGUUAAGUCCCGUAACGAGCGCAACCCUUGUCCUUAGUUACCAGCGAGUCAUGUCGGGGACUUUAAGGAGACUGCCGGUGAUAAACCGGAGGAAGGUGGGGAUGACGUCAAGUCCUCAUGGCCCUUACAAGUAGGGCUACACACGUGCUACAAUGGCCGGUACAGAGGGUCGCCAACCCGCGAGGGGGAGCUAAUCUCAGAAAGCCGGUCGUAGUCCGGAUUGGAGUCUGCAACUCGACUCCAUGAAGUUGGAAUCGCUAGUAAUCGCGGAUCAGAACGCCGCGGUGAAUACGUUCCCGGGCCUUGCACACACCGCCCGU
rnacentral:rRNA from 1 species